rnacentral:rRNA from 1 species
UGAGAGGAGUCAACUUUAGUACGAGAGGAUUGGGUUGGACGUACCCCUGGUGAUCCAGCUGGACUGCUAAGUCCAUCGCUGGGUAGCUACGUACGGCAGGGAUAACCGCUGAAAGCAUCUAAGCGGGAAGCCCCCCUCAAAACUAGGCUUGCUUGAGACCCCUGGAAGACCACCAGGUUGAUAGGACGCGCGUGCAAGGGCAGAGAUGCCCUCAGCGGAGCGUUACUAACGGUCGAUGAUCACGCCAAC